AUUCUCUUCAAUGAUUGAGGGGAAGAACGAAGAGAUGUCAACAUCUGAGUUAUCUGGAGGAGCAAGGAUACACUAUAUAUUUCAGUCAAUAUUCGUCAAGAGUUUGGAGGAAGUGGAUCCUCGUUCGGUUCGUUUACAGCCCUACCUAUCACAAAGAUGGACUACAUAAACACCUCGGCUUUUGAAGUAACUCGGCUUUUGAAGGUUCGGCUUUCGUGAGACUCUUCCUUCCUGCAAAUCAUGAUAACCGAAACUUCUAUCCAUGUGAGUGGAAAAACAUGUAUAUUUCAAUGGGACUAUAUACCAAAUUGCCAGUUCUGGUACAGCCAGUUGGCAACUAUUAUGCCCGUGUUAUUAAAAGAAUAAUGGCAUUAUUGCAUUAAUGAAAGAAACUGCGUCCUCCGUUACGCUGGAUGAGGUAAAGAAGUACCAUCAAGGAAAAGUUCCAUCGACACACGCACCUUUAUCACGGGUUGACAAAUCCAUUAUCUUAGUCAGGGUUGAAGGUUCUGUGGAGGCUCUUAAUUUAGCUUUAAAGAAGCUUGAUGAAGGAUGCAGUGUUGAGGACGCGAUGGCUAUUUAUGAGCGCCAGUCACAGCCAUCAAAUUAGUAUGUGGGAUCUUUCUUCACUUAAAUGCUUGCAUUCUUGGAAGGGUGGUCAUCAGGGUCCAAUAAUGGCGAUGACAUAUCACGCUUAUGGUGGAAGUGAAUUGCUGGCAACUGCUGGAGCAAAUCUAAAAUUACAUUAAAAUCAUAAAAUCAUAAUGUCGAUUUCUAUUUUUAAGUUAAAAGUAUAACAUAAAAUACACACCAAAUUUAAUUUAUAACAUAAAAUAUAUUGUAAAAAAAUAUAAUAUUAUAAAAAUGGGUUAAACGGGUCAACCCGCCAACCCGAUCGGGUUGACCCGAACUUGACCCGUUUAGCUGAAUCUGAAAUUAUGAGGGGUCCUCAUGAAGAUUUGGAGAGUUAUUUAGAAGCAGUAAAUUAACUAAAUUAACUGAAAAAAUUGCUCGGUUUUUCAGCACUAAUAAAAACCUUAAGAGCAGCAUUAGAGUGAUUACUCAUUCUACAACUUUGCUUCAAAAGGCUUCGUUAAUGCUCGAGGAAGAGUUCAGGCAGCUAUUACACGCUUGCAUGUCUGAUUCCAAUAUCUUUCGGUUAAACAUUCGUACUUUUUUGGUUAAUAAGUUGUGUGUUUGCUUAUGUUUUAGUAAACCAGUGGAACCCGAUCGCCUUUUGGACUGCCUACCUGCUUCCCUUAGACCGUCAACGGCUAAUGGUGACGCUGGGUUUGGGUUUAGUCUAAACGGGGUCAGGUCAGUUUCGAGUUGAAGCCGUGAACCCGUUUAGCUAAAAGGGUCAGGUUUGGGUCAACUCGGUCGGGUUGGUGGUUGACCCGUUUAAUCCAUUUGUAUUAUAUUAUAUUUUUUACUAUAUUUUUUAUAUCAUAAAUUAAAUUGGGUGUGUAUUAUAUGUCAUAAUUAUAACUUAAAAUAAGAAAUUAAAAUAAGAUUUCUUAAUUUAAAUGUAAUUUAUUAUAUACAUUUGUGUUUUUUUAGUGAAGCUAAUCAGACACUGGGAAGCUAAUCACAUGGGGUGCAACUAAUGAUCUUGGUCAAAGCUACGUGAAGCUAAUGGUCUGUUUAAUGAUCUUGGUCAAAGCAACUAAUGAACUGGGAAGCUAAUCACAUGGGGUGCAACUGAAUUACAUAUAAAUUUGAUUACCUUUUGUACCUGUUUUGAAAAUGGUCUGUUUAAGGUGAUUGUCGAUUAACAUGUCUAAGCUGUGCACAACCGUUCUGGUCUAUUUUUUUAGAAUUUAAGUUCGCGUCAGGGUUUGGGUCAUAUUGUUCUUAAAAGUUGUAACGAUUUACAUGUUAAUACUAUAAAUUUGUGUUUUAAGCUGAGCCACUUGCCUGCAAAUGCGUCAAGGGAAACUAUUGGUCGAGCGAGACAUUUGUUCAGGGUAAUAGGGAACAGAGGGUGAACCUGUGGUUUGACGCAACAAAGAACUUCCGUACUUACUCUAUUCUAUGGAACCAACGUCAAGUUGUCUCGGUUUGGAACGCGGAUAACUGGGCCACACAAGGGGUGCGAGUGUCCCGUGACAACUGCAGAUUCCGAUAAUGCAAAGCGAUGAGCCAACAGCGGUGGUUGGUGGGAUCAACCAGUGUUGUCCGAGUUAAAUGUGCAUCAAAGCCACCAGUUGAUUUGGGUGCAAGCAAACCCUAUGAUUUAUGACUACUGCAGUGACACCAG